GGGCGGGAGUGCGACGGAUACAAGACCCGAAAGGGAAAGAAGUCCGCCGUCUGUGUGCGGUUUUGAGCUCCCGCCCGCCCUCUC
rnacentral:ncRNA from 1 species